rnacentral:rRNA from 1 species
GAUGAACGCUGGCGGCGUGCUUAACACAUGCAAGUCGAACGGACUUUACAUUUUUGAAGCAAUUAGCUUGCUAAGAGUGGAAAUGUUGUAAAGUUAGUGGCGGACGGGUGAGUAACGCGUGGGUAACCUGCCUUAUACCGGGGGAUAACAGUUAGAAAUAGCUGCUAAUACCGCAUAAGCGCACAGUAUCGCAUGAUACAGUGUGAAAAACUCCGGUGGUAUAAGAUGGACCCGCGUCUGAUUAGCCAGUUGGUGAGGUAACGGCUCACCAAAGCGACGAUCAGUAGCCGGCCUGAGAGGGUGAACGGCCACAUUGGGACUGAGACACGGCCCAAACUCCUACGGGAGGCAGCAGUGGGGAAUAUUGGACAAUGGGGGAAACCCUGAUCCAGCGACGCCGCGUGAGUGAAGAAGUAUUUCGGUAUGUAAAGCUCUAUCAGUAGGGAAGAAAAUGACGGUACCUAACUAAGAAGCCCCGGCUAACUACGUGCCAGCCGCCGCCGUAAGAC